GUCAGCUUCUGCGGCUGAUUGUCUGUCAUAAAAAAGCAUCAGUCGGUUAUCUAAUUGUUAUUUAUUAUCAGCACAUGAACACGUUCGCUUUGUUUUUCCGGCCGCCUUACCACUGUGCCGUUUAAUCAUAUCCAAAUAACAUGCAAACGAAAGAACAGUGAGCAUUACUUUCCGUCAAAUCGCCCGAAGUUGACUUCUACAAUCGGCAAGCACCAAGCACAAACAUGGAAUAUUUCAGUGGUUCCAAGAAGUUACUGCUAUUUAUUCUCGAAGACUGGAAACUGCUCCUCUUUCUUACUGUUUUAUUUGGAUUAUAUUUCUAUUAUACAAGUACGUUUGACUUUUUCGAGAAGAAAGGCAUUCCAUUUAAAAAACCAGUGAUAUUUUUGGGAAACUUGGGGCCUAGAUUAAGGGGAACACAGUCAUUCCACGAAUUUCAAUUGGAAGCAUAUAAGAACUUCAAGGGUAAUCGAUAUGGUGGAUUAUUCGAAGGAAGAAGGCCCCUCCUAACAAUUAUGGAUCCGGAACUCAUAAAGGCGAUAACAAUUCGUGACUUUGAUCACUUCACCGACCGCAUCACACUGAAUGCCAAAGAACCUAAGUUCUGGAGUCGUUCACUUCUUAACUUGAAGGGAGCUGAAUGGAAAGGUGUUCGCAGUACACUCACACCAGUGUUCAGCUCCUCACGUCUAAGAAAUAUGCUUCCACUCAUUAAAUUGUGCUCGACGCAAAUGGUGGAUUUCUUAAAGCAAUAUGAUAAGAAAGAUGUUGAGAUGAAGAAAACAAUAGGGCACUUUACAUUAGAAGUAAUUGGGGCAUGUGCGUUUGGGAUCAAAUGCGAUGCUUUAUCAGAUGAGAAUGCACACUUCUUUAAUGUAGCUGAAAAGUUUGACUACAUGCCUUUACACAAAAGACUGAUGUUAUUCUUUAUUUUGAUAUUUGUGCCGCAGUUGAUUAAGAUUCUGAACUUUUCAUUUCUUAAUUUGACAUCGGCAAAAGAGCUUGUACGUAUUCUGAAAGCAGCAAAAGCUGAGCGAAAGAAAUCUGGUAUUAAGAAAAAUGACUUUCUUCAAAUUCUGAUUGAUUUUUCUGAAAAAGAAAGGUCUGAAUCUGAAAAAACCAAGUCUGAUAUUCAUCUAGACGACGACACAGUAGACGCACAGUUGCUCUUGUUUCUAAUCGCCGGCUAUGAGACGUCAAGUACUUUGCUAUCUUUUGCGGUACAUGUGCUGGCUACCAAGCCCGAAUUGCAGACAAAACUUAGAGCCCAUGUGAAGGAAAUGACUGAAGGAAAGGAAUUAGAUUACGACUGCCUUGCUCAACUGCAUUAUUUGGAAGGAUUUUUGCUAGAAACUUUACGUAUGUUCCCUCCAUUGGCGCGAGUUGACCGAGUGUGUACUAAACAAUACACCAUACCUGGAACAUCUAUAAAACUGAACCCUGGUAAUGUGAUAGCCAUACCUCUGUAUGGUAUUCACAUGGACCCAGAAUAUUACCCAGACCCGCAAGAAUUCAAGCCAGAACGAUUCAUGAAUGAAGACAAGAAGGACAGAGCCUCGCAUUUGUAUCUGGCAUUUGGUGCUGGCCCUAGAAAUUGUAUAGGUCUGAGAUUCGCCAUGUUAUCAGCAAAAUUGGCCAUGGUUGAACUUAUUAAGAACUUUAAAUUCUCGACUUGCGAGAAGACAGUAGAUCCGAUUCAGUUCGAUAAACGGUCACUGUUGUUGAAGGCGCAGGGAGGCUUGUGGGUUCGCAUUGAAAAACUCUAAUGGAGCCUACAGUUUAUAACUUGACCUCUCUGAAGUCCGCCAUUCGAUGCCUCGCGCAUGCAUCAGCUCAGAGAGAGGCAGAAACAUAUAUGACGCUAGCUGUGUGUAAGAACUACACCAUUACCAAUUAUUUAGAAUUCGAAUAUUUUUAUACGUACAAAUACAUGUAAUUUGAAGUAUGCAUUUCUAGCUUUCUAUAAUUUUAUAAAGUACAAACGAAAAUAGCAGUUCCUAUAAUCGGGUUUCAUAAGAGAUUUCAUAAUAAUUUUAUCGACAAUUUGUAGGCUCGUGAUCCGCGUAUACACCAUAAUUUUGGUUGCGUGCCGUGCAUCGGUAGAUACAUUUACAAAAAUGAUUAGCUUAUAAAUACUCAUUUAAUAUUUUAGAGGAAACAACAGUAUUUUAGUGUUAUCGUUUUUUAAGUAAUCUAGACCACUGGCCUUUGCUACUCAGCAAUUUAGUUAAUGAACAAUAAAUAGUGUACCACUGUACUCCAUAUUAUAAGUAAAAUGUUUUAAUGAUAGUUUUUGUGAAGGAGAUUUUACAUGUAGCUAACAUAAUCGAAACUGGAUAUUAGUGGAUAUUUACUCAAUUUAUAAAAUAUUGAUGUCUUUGGGUACACAUAGUUGCGAACAAAACAUGAAUAUUUUUCAAAAAAUAAACACAAAUGUUAUUUUAAGACAUUACAUAAUAGAAAUAAGUUUUGAAUUAAUUUCAAUUAAUUAGGGGGAUUAAAAUAGGUGAUAGUAAAAUAUUGUUUAGGGUUAAAGGUCUAUUUAUAAAAUAAUUUGCGUACAUAAUAUAAAGUUACUUCCUCUAUUUUUGUUGUCUAGUAUCAGAUGUUUAUUGAACCUUCAUAAAUGCUGCUAUAAAAAAACCUAUUGUAUCUCUGAAGAUAGGCUCUACUGGUCUAAGAUCUUGAUGUUCUGGACCAAACCUCUGUACCAUCAAUCUGAAAUAAGUAAUAAAACUUAGAAGCUUAGAAAUUAUGUGAUAAAACAGUGCCAGGUCCAUACUCAGUACAAAAAGGCAUUCGUUUUGAAUUGCACUUAAAUUAUUAUUGUUGUUAAUUUAUUAUAAAAUAUAUUUUACAUAACAAAACGAUUCUUGCCAACUCAAAGGAUAAUGUAUUUUUAUUAAUUUAUAAUAAAACAUUUAUAAUGUA
rnacentral:misc_RNA from 1 species